UACCUCACAGUAGGCCCACUUGCCUAAUGUUGUGAUAUGAAGGUGCAGGCCAGAAGUCAAAUAGUCACAGAAAAGUGUUCGGUGGCAGCUGACAUCAGAAAUAUGUUUACAAGCAGAAACUAUAAGAGUGAUAUUUUCUUCACGCCGUGAUCAUUUUCAACUCUCCCUGUGAUUCUGGUCUGCUGGCUCACUGUACCAUUACUAUUUGGAGCAAAGCAGUUACAGGAGAAGAAUGUCCAACUUUCAAAUGCAUUUAUAUUUAAAAAUCAUAAUAUGAAUUUUAAGGACAAUUUAUAACAUAAAUUAAAAUUUCCAGGGUUCA